AACCUGCCGCAUACUCCGGGAUAGCCUUGCGAAAGUAAGAUUAAUACCGGAUGUUGUUGUUUUUCCGCAUGGAUUGACAACCAAAGAUUUAUCGGUAUGCGAUGGUGAUGCGUCUGAUUAGGUAGUUGGUAGGGUAACGGCCUACCAAGCCUUCGAUCAGUAGGGGUUCUGAGAGGAAGGUCCCCCACACUGGAACUGAGACACGGUCCAGACUCCUACGGGAGGCAGCAGUGAGGAAUAUUGGUCAAUGGACGAAAGUCUGAACCAGCCAAGUAGCGUGCAGGAUGACGGCCCUCCGGGUUGUAAACUGCUUUUAGUUGGGAAUAAUGCCGGGGACGUGUCCCCGUGUUGAAUGUACCAUCAGAAAAA
rnacentral:rRNA from 1 species